UACGAAGGGGGCUAGCGUUGUUCGGAAUUACUGGGCGUAAAGCGCACGCAGGCGGUCUGUUAAAUUAGAAGUGAAAGCCUUGGGCUUAACCUGAGAAUUGCUUUUAAGACUGGCAGACUAGAAUCCAGAAGAGGGUAGUGGAAUUCCGAGUGUAGAGGUGAAAUUCGUAGAUAUUCGGAAGAACACCAGUGGCGAAGGCGACUACCUGGUCUGGCAUUGACGCUCAUGUGCGAAAGCGUGGGGAGCAAACAGG
rnacentral:rRNA from 1 species